GUCUACACAUACACGUUCCUUGCCUCCGAGGUUUGGCUGCACCCGGGCGGAGGCUGAUUAACCCGUAAGGAGCUGAUAAUG
rfam:Aeromonas diversa 2478-85 Contig 10, whole genome shotgun sequence.